UGUUUCGGCUAGGGGGCCAUCCCGGCUUACCAACCCGAUGCAAACUGCGAAUACCGGAGAAUGUUAUCACGGGAGACACACGGCGGGUGCUAACGUCCGUCGUGAAGAGGGAAACAACCCAGACCGCCAGCUAAGGUCCCAAAGUCAUGGUUAAGUGGGAAACGAUGUGGGAAGGCCCAGACAGCCAGGAUGUUGGCUUAGAAGCAGCCAUCAUUUAAAGAAAGCGUAAUAGCUCACUGGUCGAGUCGGCCUGCGCGGAAGAUGUAACGGGGCUAAACCAUGCACCGAAGCUGCGGCAGCGAACGUAUCACUUAAAGCGAUUCAGCGGGUUACGAUUGACGGAGCGAAGCGACGUCAAAGCGUAUACAAAGUCGAGUCGGUUUAAGGAUACGUUCGUUGGGUAGGGGAGCGUUCUGUAAGCCUGUGAAGGUGGCCUGUGAGGGUUGCUGGAGGUAUCAGAAGUGCGAAUGCUGACAUAAGUAACGAUAAAGCGGGUGAAAAGCCCGCUCGCCGGAAGACCAAGGGUUCCUGUCCAACGUUAAUCGGGGCAGGGUGAGUCGACCCCUAAGGCGAGGCCGAAAGGCGUAGUCGAUGGGAAACGGGUUAAUAUUCCCGUACUUGGUGUUACUGCGAAGGGGGGACGGAGAAGGCUAUGUUGGCCGGGCGACGGUUGUCCCGGUUUAAGCGUGUAGGCUGGUUUUCCAGGCAAAUCCGGAAAAUCAAGGCUGAGGCGUGA
rnacentral:rRNA from 1 species